rnacentral:rRNA from 1 species
CCCUUAGGUGUUCUGGGCCGCACGCGCGCUACACUGAAGGGAUCAGCGUGUUUUCCCUUUCCGAGAGGAACGGGUAACCCGCUGAACCCCCUUCGUGGUAGGGAUCGGAGCUUGCAAUUGUUCUCCGUGAACCAGGAAUUCCCAGUAAGCGCAAGUCAUAAGCUUGCGUUGAUUACGUCCCUGCCCUUUGUACACACCGCCCGUCGCUACUACCGAUUGAACGUUUUAGUGAGGUAUUUGGACUGGGCCUUGGGAGGUUUCGGCCUCCCUUGUUGCUCGGAAAGACUCCCAAACUUGAGCGUUUAGAGGAAGUAAAAGUCGUAACA